rnacentral:rRNA from 1 species
UACGAAGGGGGCUAGCGUUGUUCGGAAUUACUGGGCGUAAAGCGCACGUAGGCGGAUAUUUAAGUCAGGGGUGAAAUCCCAGAGCUCAACUCUGGAACUGCCUUUGAUACUGAGGAGCUUGAGUCCGGGAGAGGUGAGUGGAACUGCGAGUGUAGAGGUGAAAUUCGUAGAUAUUCGCAAGAACACCAGUGGCGAAGGCGGCUCACUGGCCCGGUACUGACGCUCAUGAGCGAAAGCGUGGGGAGCAAACAGG